AUGGAGAGCGGUGCGUGUCAGCUGCGUGUUACAGGGCUACCGUGGGAUGCUGUGCCAGCCGUUAGGACGGGCACGUAUGAUGGCAUUAGUGAUGACUUAUAUCCAAAAACCAGCGGAACAGAAGGAUUUCGGGCAAUCUGCGAGGGGACCCCGCAUCGCACCGCACCCACCUCCCCCGGGAGCCGGGGCCGAAGCGGGCUCUCCCCUCCUCCGGUUCCACCGCACCGCCCCGGGGCCGGGGGCCGCCCGCGGGCAGGGGACGGGCGAGGGGCGGGCAAGGGGCGGUGCUGCAUGCGGGGCCGCGCGGGACGGCGGCGGCAGCGGAGCCGGAGCCGGGCAGGGGUGGCCGCGACGGAAGCGGAGCAGAGCGGAGCCGGGCGCGAGAGGCUUUUCUCAGCAUGCAGUGCCUUUAGAUUUGGCUGCGAUAACCAACCACAUCCGGCACAUUGGAUUUCUGGCUUGCAUUCUUCUGUUAUCCUGCUUCCAGCAGAGAGUGGAGCUGAAGUCUGUGCUUCAGAGCAGCAAAGCGGUGUAACGGUGGAGUAAUAGCAGGGUGGAAACUCAGCCAGAUUGGAAGGACAGUAUGUAUGACAUGGUGCAGCAGUGGGAUUGGACUCAGUGAUUCAUGAAGGCUCUUCAGGUUGCACAUCCGUGUCCUGGGAUUACAGAGUUGCCUCUGAGAAAGUCAUCUGAAUCCAACUACAUCAGAGAUACCGAGUCUUCCUGCAGACAAGUCUCAGUUCUCCUGUGGUAACGAAAAACAAGAGGAACACAGUCUCCUGCUUUCAGAUCAAGAGUUCAUUUCCAAUCAUUCAGCAACAGUACUUUAAAUUUAGUCUUUAGUUUAAGGAAAAAAAAACCUUUUCCAGCAGUAGACAAGGGAAAAGUAUGGACCACUGCAGAAGUUGAAUGCCUUGAUCAGUUUGCAGGUCUCCGAAGACUGUGGGUUUAUUGAAGUUAGCCACUUCCAGUUUUCUCAUUACACUUUGAAGUCAGUGACAAACUUCGUAAUCAUUUUGCUGGGACCAAGUUUGGUCUGUAGUUAUUCUGCAUAGUUUUCAGAAAUGCACAAACUGAUUUACAGAGGAAGAAGGUGAAGCCAACAUCUGGCUUUACUGAAAGUUAUUCCUUUGGGAGGACUAGAGAAGAGAGACAAAUGGUUGCACUACUUACCUCCUCAUUUCAGAAGGAGCAGGAACCUGAUCCA
rnacentral:lncRNA from 1 species